UACAGAGAGUGCGAACGUUGUUCGGAAUUACUGGGCUUAAAGCGCACGUAGGCGGCAUCGUAAGUGUCCGGUGAAAUCCCACGGCUCACCCGUGGAACUGCCUGGCAGACUGCGAUGCUCGAGUGUGGUAGGGGAGAGCGGAACUCCUGGUGGAGCGGUGAAAUGCGUAGAUAUCAGGAGGAACACCGGUGGCGAAGGCGGCAUCCUGGACCGAGAUUGACGCUGAUGCGCGAAAGCCAGGGGAGCAAACGGG
rnacentral:rRNA from 1 species